rnacentral:rRNA from 1 species
AUUUUGGACAAUGGGGGAAACCCUGAUCCAGCCAUGCCGCGUGUGUGAAGAAGGUCUUCGGAUCGUAAAGCUCUGUCUUUGGGGACGAAGGAAGUGACGGUACCCAAGGAGGAAGCCCCGGCUAACUACGUGCCAGCAGCCGCGGUAACACGUAGGGGGCAAGCGUUUUCCGGAAUUACUGGGAGUAAAGGGAUCGUAGGCGGUAUAUUAAGUCAGGUGUGAAACCCCACGGCUCAACUGUGGGCUUGCACAUGAAACUGGUAUGCUUGAGUACAGGAGAGGAAAGCGGAAUUCCUAGUGUAGUGGUGAAAUGCGUAGAUAUUAGGAAGAACACCAGUGGCGAAGGCGGCUUUCUGGACUGUAACUGACGCUGAGGCACGAAAGCGUGGGGAGCAAACA